rnacentral:misc_RNA from 1 species
UGGCUCUCGCAUCGAUGAAGAACGCAGCGAAAUGCGAUAAGUAAUGUGAAUUGCAGAAUUCAGUGAAUCAUCGAAUCUUUGAACGCAUCUUGCGCUCCUUGGUAUUCCGAGGAGCAUGCCUGUUUGAGUGUCAUUAAAUUCUCAACCCCACCCGGCUUUUGCGAGCUCGGGCUUCAAUGGGGCUUGGUAGUGAGGGAAUUUGCUGGCUUCCUCAGGGAAGCCAGCUCCCUUGAAAUGCAUUAGUGGUACCUUUUUUGCGGUAUUAACGACUGUUGGUGUGAUAAAUAUCUACUCCAUCUGGUCAGCCGCUCGGUCACACCGCUCUCCAACCGUCCGCCCCGUCGGACAAAUCUCAUGACAAUUUUGACCUCAAAUCAGGUAGGACUACCCGCUGA